rnacentral:rRNA from 1 species
AUACGAAGGGGGCUAGCGUUGUUCGGAAUCACUGGGCGUAAAGCGCGCGUAGGUGGAUCAAUUAGUUGAUGGUGAAAUCCCGGGGCUCAACCUCGGAACUGCCUUCAAUGCUGUUGAUCUUGAGACCGAGAGAGGUGAGUGGAAUUCCUAGUGUAGAGGUGAAAUUCGUAGAUAUUAGGAAGAACACCAGUGGCGAAGGCGGCUCACUGGCUCGGUACUGACGCUGAGGUGCGAAAGCGUGGGGAGCAAACAGGAUUAGAAACCCUAGUAGUCC